UGGGGAAUAUUGGGACAAUGGGGGAACCGUGAUCCAGCCAUGCCGCGUGUGUGAAGAAGGCCUUAUGGUUGUAAAGCACUUUAAGCGAGGAGGAGGCUCUUUUGGUUAAUACCCAAGAUGAGUGGACGUUACUCGCAGAAUAAGCACCGGCUAACUCUGUGCCAGCAGCCGCGGUAAUACAGAGGGUGCGAGCGUUAAUCGGAUUUACUGGGCGUAAAGCGUGCGUAGGCGGCUUUUUAAGUCGGAUGUGAAAUCCCCGAGCUUAACUUGGGAAUUGCAUUCGAUACUGGGAAGCUAGAGUAUGGGAGAGGAUGGUAGAAUUCCAGGUGUAGCGGUGAAAUUGCGUAGAGAUCUUGGAGGAAUACCGAUGGCGAAGGCAGCCAUCUGGCCUAAUACUGACGCUGAGGUACGAAAAGCAUGGGGAGCAAAACA
rnacentral:rRNA from 1 species